rnacentral:rRNA from 1 species
UUUAUGGAGAGUUUGAUCCUGGCUCAGGAUGAACGCUGGCGGCGUGCCUAAUACAUGCAAGUCGAGCGAACAGACGAGGAGCUUGCUCCUUUG